rnacentral:rRNA from 1 species
GUGAGGAAUAUUGGGCAAUGGGCGAAAGCCUGACCCAGCCACGCCGCGUGAGUGAUGAAGGCCUUCGGGUUGUAAAGCUCUGUGGGGAGGGAAGAAAAAGCGGGAGAGUAACUGCUCUCGUGUUGACGGUACCUCCUUAGCAAGCACCGGCUAACUCUGUGCCAGCAGCCGCGGUAAUACAGAGGGUGCAAACGUUGCUCGGAAUUACUGUGCGUAAAGCGCGUGUAGGCUGACAUGCAAGUCGGGUGUGAAAUCCCAGGGCUCAACCUUGGAACUGCACUCGAAACUGCACGUCUUGAGUACUGGAGAGGGAAGCGGAAUGCCGGGUGUAGAGGUGAAAUUCGUAGAUAUCCGGAGGAACACCAGUGGCGAAGGCGGCUUCCUGGACAGUAACUGACGCUGAGACGCGAAAGCGUGGGGAGCAAACAGGAUUAGAAACCCGUGUAGUCC